rnacentral:lncRNA from 1 species
GACAAGCGCUCCGUAGUUCUGGCUGUCCAGAUCCUUGACCUGGUGACUUUUAACCUUCAGGACUAAUUUUCCGUAGUUCUGAUUAAACUUGUCAUGUUCACAACAAAUUAUUUCAAUUCAGUUUUCGCGUAAGCACAAAUUCAGGAGCUAUCAAUGCGCUAAUGAAAUUUCUACAAUUUCUUAUAAUUUUCUCUUAAUCUUCUUGGUAAAAUGUGUCGGUAAAAAAAUUAUAUUAAUCCUUACACAAUAUUUUUGAUGUGUUCUAAUAGCGAAAAUAUUUAUUAGUCUUCGAGGUUUAACCCGAGGUGGUUGGCGGUUAUGCGGUAUGCGGGUUAUCGAGGUGGACGAGGAGGAGGACAAGGGGGAGGAGGACGAGGAAGACGAGGAGAACGAGGAUUUCUGAACGACAUAACCCGAGGUGGUUAGCGGUGGUCGUUGGAGGUGGUCGGAGGUGGUUGCGGGUGAUCGAGCGUGACGAGGAGAAAGACAAGGAGGAGAAGGACGAGGAUUUGUGCAUGGUAUAACCCGAGGUGGUUAUCGGUGGUUGUUGGAGGUGGUUGGCGGUGGUUGAAGGUGUUCGGAGGUGUUCGGAGGUGGACGAGGAGGAGAACAAGGUGGACGAGGAGGACGAGGAUUUGAGCUCGGUGUAUAUCAUUCUAAAGUAUUGAAUAGAGUAGGAGUAUGAGUAGGAGUAGGAGUAGGAUCAGGAGUAGGAGUAGGAGCUCUACCCUAAACUACCCCCCCCUCUACCCUACCCUACCCCCUACUCUACCAUACCCUACCCUACCCUACCCUUCCCGCCCCUGCCCUCCUCCUAUACUCCUACUUCUACUCCUACUCCUACUCCUGAUCCCACUCCUAUUCCUACUCCUAAUUCUGAAUAUUAAUGUUAUGGGAUAUAUAGAUUGCGUGUCGAAUUGUAUCACAUAUCGAAACGAACAAUUCUUUUAUUGUCAUAUUAUAGCCGAAUAUGGUAGAUAAUCUAAUAUGUUUCCUAGAAGAUUAUAAAAUUUAUAGUUUGCAUCACGUAUUAAUCAUAAACGAAUCAUUUAUAUCAAUGACGUACAUGGACUGCAUGUACAUAUAUACUUUUUGGUCUCUGCAUCAUUAUUACAUCUGACCUAUUUUUAUUCAUGAUCUAUGUAUACAUUCUUCUCUCGGGUACCUAUACUUUGAUUAAAUAAC